AAAAAGGGGAGGACGGGACGGGAGGACGGGACACGGUGGGGUCACGAAAUCCCUCAUUACUUUAGCACAAACACUCAUUGUUUUAACCGCUCGUGGAACUAAUGUUUAGUUAUGAAAAUAAUAACCGUUAUAUGCCGCCAUCCGCUCUCCCUUUACAGCAUCUCCCUCUUUAUCUACCCACUUUUGCAAGUGUACAGAUAAGGUAUGCAAAGAAAGUGUAGCGAGUAAUUUAUAGCUAUGAAUAUAACAUUAGGAUAAUGUUUCAUUCUGUUACAAAGGCGAAAUUUCUCUUCCUUGUGUAGACAGGUGUUCUUUUUUGCUCACUUCUGAAUAGUAAAUAUCCAGACUCAUUAAACUAAAGGCAAAGUUACGCUGUUGUUCGCUACAAUGUAUAAGACAGGCUCAGAAAUUCACCACCUCCUCCCUCCCUUUUCCCCUCAGCCCCCUCCAGGAAGAAAGAAAGAAAGAAAACACACACACACAAUUUUACUGAAGAUAGGGAAAGGGCAAAGCAGGAUUGGGGUAAAUCUCAUUACAUCUGCUCUAAUCGCUUAGCAACACAAAGCCUUUUCUUGUAUUAGCGCGGAGAGCCUUUCAGCGCUGCCUGACAGACAGUAUUCAGUUAGCAUUAGUAAACUCCAUAAAUCAGGGACUUCUUUGGGCGCAGUAUAAGUUUUAGAACUACUCAGGAAUUGGUGGGGAGUGGGGGAAGAAGAGCGGAGAGGGGAUAUGCGUGCAGAUGUUUGGCCACGGAUUUAUUAAUAUAUCCACCUGUGUGUUUAUUUAUCGCAAUGCACGAAAAGUGUCCCGCUAACAAAUGCCUCUCCCAGAGUGUGUGCCCUCUCCCAAGCCCAGACCCUCGGGCAGCGGGAUGGCACGGCGAGACCCGCGGCGCUGGGCAGCGCGGCCCCCGCCUCCCCACGCCACGGCCCGCGGGAUCCGCGUCCGCGGAGCCGGGCGGGAGCCUCCCCGCGCCGUGGGGCUUACCCUCACCCCCCAUUCCUGCUCCGCCGCUGCCCCCUCCCCACGGUUCCCCCCGUGAUGCAAUCCUACGCACAAACUUUUUUCCGCACGCGGGAGCAGCGUCGGCCCCGCGGAACCUCCGCGCCUCCACCGCUCCCGCACAGGGAAAACAGUUUGGCUCCAUUGUCGGGUUGCCAAGACCGCCUUUUGAGAAAGGGAGCCCGGCUAGUCUCUGAUCAAACUCAAAGAAAACAGAGUGGACAAUGAACUGCUGUCUGAAACAAAGGGGCAAGAACUACUCGUCCCUUUCACUUCAGUAAGAGGAGGGAAUUCAUGGUGCCUGCAUAGACCCCGGCAAAUGUGAGAGUGCCAGGGCCAGCUCCUCAGAACUCCCAUCUGGCCAAGACCCGCCACACAUCUGCCCAGCUCUUGGAUCAAGAAAUCCUUUCAGACUAGGUCAAUUACCUUCUGCAAUAACGAAUUCUUGAAGGGAGAAGAGAGACAGACUUCCUCCUCACUGAGGGCCUGUCUUUCAUUUUGUCCAUACAUGACGCCUUUCCAAAACAAGCGCUGCCAAUGGCUGACUGAGGAUAUACAGGCAAUAAGAGUACAGGAAACUGUAGCAACACUGUAACUUUCAUCAUUCCUUAAUGUGGAAUAAGGCCAAGAAUAUUUUAGCAUGUACAGGAAGAAGAAAAUAAGAAAACAACCCCCAGAAAACCUUUCUACACUCUGAAUUAAGAGAGUACAGUUACUUCAUGCUGGAUUUAUUUCAGCACAGCAUAACAGCUUUCCACAAAGUGGUUUAGAUGGAAUUCCCAGGUGACUUGUUGUGUAUUUAAAUACUGCCUGCCUAGGAUUUAAAUAAACAGCUUUUAUAUUAAUUAGAAACAAAUCCUCUCAAUUGGAAGGUAUUAACUGUUUCUAAAUUGCACACACAACACUUACUCUGACUUUGAUUCAGUUACAUGCUUUUAAACUUGCCAGCCACUCAUAGUCUAUUAUGCUAUAACCACAGUUUACAGCAGUGCAAUAAAAUAUUGAUUCAACUGUUUUAACCUUUCAUCGAUCGGCAUAACAUGUAAUUAAGUCCUAGGAGCAAGUGAGCAGCUCAUUGCUAGCACAUCAGCCUAGGUACAUAUUUACAGCCUAAGCCUAGCAGAAUUGUUUUAUGCAUGUUUUGCAGUAAUGCACAUGCCAAUUAUCUCUUUGCUGGUUUCUGAUUACAGUUUAAUCAAAGACACUCCACACUGCGCAAGUAGGACCUGAAUACAGACUGCCAGGCUCUUCAUUGACCAAGUACAUUGAUUUCACCAGCUGAGAACCUGACUCAGAUGCUUUGUACCACACUUAUAGUUGUUAGUUCCACCUGAUGCUGGGUGUGCAAACCCCCGCUGAAGGCAGAGCAAAGCUGCCUGCUUAAAUUCACUGGGUUAGUAUCUCCAAAGUUUUUAGAGCCUCAGAAUCAUCCCUCUUCAUAAGAUAACUGCCUUGUCUGGCUCCUGGGAACAAUGUUCUGCUUUUCUCAGCUUUGACCCCAUUAGGUAAAUCCAUGUGGGGGGUUUUUUUCUGGCUAAAUAGCUGAAAAAAGAUGUUUUUUCUCUUGGUUUUCCUCACACCAUUCAAAAAAGCUAAACAGAUUCUCAAAAUGUUUGUGAUCAGAUUGAAUAGGCCACAUUAAUCCUUUGUGCUUGCAGCCUGUUUUUCAUUAAUUAGUGGAAACCCAACCUGACAAUAUUCAAUAUCACAGUUUCCAGACUAAGAGUGCAUUGCUGAGAUAAAUGGAGUAGAAGAAACAUGUCAGUUCCUGGCAUUACCAUCCUCCCAUACAAUAGCAUUUUGUUUGUUUGUUUGAAUAUAAAUAUCUGAUAGUAGCAGAAAAUACUUUUUUCUCUCAGAGCCUAGGACAUUUCAAUAAAUUAGUACAAAUAAAAUAUACAGGCAAAGAAAAAUAGUGGUUAUUCAGCUCUUUUGGAAAUCUCCAUAAUCUUGUACAUAAUCUUUUGGGUGCCCUCACAGACGUGUUGAACUCUUCUCCAGCCAGCUGUGAGAGUUAAAGGUGACCAUGGUGAGAAUAUUACUUUUCUAGGUUUUGCCCCUUUCAAAAAUAAACACACUGGCAAGAAAUCUUAGAAUUCUUUUAAAUGGCUCUGGGAAAAACAAACAAACAAACAAACAACUUUCAAGUGAGGAGCAGGAAUUUUAAAAAACCCAAACAAACAAACAAACAAGUCCAACAAAACAAAGCUGAAGACAGCCUGUUUUCUUUGUAACCUUCUCCUUGCUAUGGAAGAGUGAAAGUUUAACUUGAAAGUCAAAUCCCUGAGGGUUUGUAGCUUAUUCCCUGUACAUAGUGAACAAAGAGCAGGCUGUGGUUCUGAGCAGACCACAGAAAUGAUAGCCAGGGGCUUUGGUCUGUCAGCAAGGCUGACAUCCUGCCCUGGCAGUGAUGCACAACAACACCUCCAGCACUUCAGGAGCACCUGACUUCUUGUGCCACACGAGUCAGCCUGACAGCCAGCACUUUUCUCAACCUGUUUAUUCCCUUGCAACUGGAAAAUAAGCCCCUGUUUCUCUUUUGCAGGGAUCCAUUUCUCCAUUGGCCAUAUUUUCCUGGGCUCUUGCAUAACUUCUGGACACAGCUUUGCUCACUACUCUGACAAGUGGUGUACUCAGUACCCCCUAUUUAUUCCUAUCACACAGCUCUUUCAUAAAGCAGAAUUUACCUGAAUUUUUUACUAGCUGUAUAAGGGGUACAUCCCAGCCCACCUGACCAAGUCAUCUUAAUUUAUUAAAGAAAAAUUCUCCAUACUCUAAAUGGGUCAUUUUGUAGUCAAUGUUUCUGAACUUCAAUUACAACCUAAAUGUUUGAAAGCUGUGAGGGGGUUGCCUUUGGACACCUUCUCUACAGAGUCUUUACUAUUCUAGUUUUGUUUGAUGAGUCCUACGAACAUACUAAUCCAAACUCUAGGCAAGUUCUGUGGCCAGACCCCAUUGCUAAUGGAAAAGAGGAAUCAUCCAUGGAGAACCACUGAUUUGUGUUCACUAGCAGUCUAGCUUAUAUGAAAUGA